ACCUGAGUGGGGGCCGCGAUCGUGUUAGACAUGUCAUCCCCUCACAGUUGACACCACUUGUGACUUAUAAUACCCGCACCUGUGAGUACAUAGCUCGGGUAUCGGGAGGAAUUGGGAAACACUUCUUACAUAUUAAUUCAUGAGAUAAAUUAUAAUCUAGCUUGAAAUUCUGACAAUAAUAACCAGGACCUUGCGUCCUAUAUCUUUUAACCAUUUCCCUAUUCCAAAGGUCCAGUCAAAACCAGUCAUAUCCUCACGCAGUUCCACAAAACAUGGGAAUCCAUCCUGGCACACUCAACAUAUAUCAAAAACACACGUAGUACAGCUAACUCUGGGUCAGCUAACACUUCCUCUCUCUCUCCGGCUAACUCUACAAAAGUAAAAAUAAAAAUAAAAAUAGUUCAAUAGUUCAGCAUAGUUCAGAA